rnacentral:rRNA from 2 species
AGAGCUUGCUCUCUGAUGGCGAGUGGCGAACGGGUGAGUAAUAUAUCGGAACGUGCCCAGUAAUGGGGAACAACUAAUUGAAAGAUUAGCUAAUACCGCAUACGACCUACGGGUGAAAGCAGGGGAUCUUCGGACCUUGCGUUAUUGGAGCGGCCGAUAUCUGAUUAGCUUGUUGGUAGGGUAAAAGCCUACCAAGGCGACGAUCAGUAGCUGGUCUGAGAGGACGAUCAGCCACACUGGAACUGAGACACGGUCCAGACUCC